rnacentral:rRNA from 1 species
GACGAACGCUGGCGGCGUGCUUAACACAUGCAAGUCGUACGGUAAGGCCCUUUCGGGGGUCCACGAGUGGCGAACGGGUGAGUAACACGUGAGUAACCUGCCCACAACUUUGGGAUAACGCUAGGAAACUGGUGCUAAUACUGGAUAUGUGCUCCUGCUGCAUGGUGGGGGUUGGAAAGCUCCGGCGGUUGUGGAUGGACUCGCGGCCUAUCAGCUUGUUGGUGGGGUAGUGGCCUACCAAGGCGGCGACGGGUAGCCGGCCUGAGAGGGUGACCGGCCACAUUGGGACUGAGAUACGGCCCAGACUCCUACGGGAGGCAGCAGUGGGGAAUAUUGCACAAUGGGCGCAAGCCUGAUGCAGCAACGCCGCGUGCGGGAUGACGGCCUUCGGGUUGAAAACCGCUUUCAGCAGGGACGAAGCUUUUUGUGACGGUACCUGCAGAAGAAGCACCGGCUAACUACGUG